rnacentral:tRNA from 1 species
GGUUGUGGCUCAGUGGUAGCGUGCUUGCCUAGCAUGCAUGAGGUACUGGGUUCGAUUCUCAGCACCA